rnacentral:tRNA from 1 species
GCAGGAGUAGCGAAGUGGUCAAACGCGCGGGACUCAAGAUCCCGUCCUUUAGUAGGUUCGGAGGUUCAAAUCCUUCCUCCUGCA